rnacentral:lncRNA from 1 species
GGAGCCAGAAAAGGCAGGAAGUUGACAGACAUAGUCCUUAAGAUAAGAUGGAGGAUUAUGCUUUCUUCAAGAUUUUCUGGGAGCAGGAGCAGAUGUGGAAGAAGGCAAAUUAGGAGGAGAGGAAUCAGGAUUGAAGGAAGGAAUAGAGGCUGGAUUAGAAGAAGAAGAAGUGGUGGCAGAAGGAGGAGGAGGAGAGGAACAAACAGGU